rnacentral:lncRNA from 1 species
UAAUAGACAACUUUAAAAAAGAAAAAAGGGGUAAAAUUUGUUUUUUCUUUUUAUUUUUAUAAGCAUAAUUCCCUUUUUUUUCUUUUUUUCUAAAAUGAAUAAUUUUAUUUUUCUCUUUUUCUUUUUGUUUUUACAUUUAACUUAUGCCCAACUUCCUUACGAAGUUCAAAACAUUUACAAGGCUACAAAUGCUCACUCUGUUAUUGCAAUGCCAGGAGAUAAAAGUGCCGAAGAAGUUAUAAUAAACAGCAACAAUGGCAAUAUACAAAGAGACUAUAGUGAACAUUCUUUAAAAAAAUUAGCAGACAAAUACUAUAAAGAUAUAGAAGGAAGUAACCAAGGUAUUUUGGAAGAAUUAAACCAGCUAAUCGACAUAGUAAAUGAUAAAUCGCUGUAUCUUACAAUUUUUUAAAAAGAGAAAAAUAAUAUUUUUUAUAUUAUUAUUAUCAGUAGUAAUAGUAUUAUUAUUUUUUUGUUAGUUUUUUUUUUUAUUAUU